rnacentral:rRNA from 1 species
AUUGAACGCUGGCGGCAUGCCUUACACAUGCAAGUCGAACGGCAGCGCGGACUUCGGUCUGGCGGCGAGUGGCGAACGGGUGAGUAAUGCAUCGGAACGUACCUUUCAGUGGGGGAUAACGUAGCGAAAGUUACGCUAAUACCGCAUAUUCUGUGAGCAGGAAAGCAGGGGAUCGCAAGACCUUGCGCUGAUGGAGCGGCCGAUGUCAGAUUAGCUUGUUGGUGGGGUAAAAGCCUACCAAGGCGACGAUCUGUAGCUGGUCUGAGAGGACGACCAGCCACACUGGGACUGAGACACGGCCCAGACUCCUACGGGAGGCAG